UACAGAGGGGGCAAGCGUUGUUCGGAAUUACUGGGCGUAAAGGGCGCGUAGGCGGCCGUCUAAGUCAGACGUGAAAUCCCUCGGCUCAACCGGGGAACUGCGUCUGAUACUGGGUGGCUUGAAUCCGGGAGAGGGAUGCGGAAUUCCAGGUGUAGCGGUGAAAUGCGUAGAUAUCUGGAGGAACACCGGUGGCGAAGGCGGCAUCCUGGGCCGGCAUUGACGCUGAGGCGCGAAAGCCAGGGGAGCAAACGGG
rnacentral:rRNA from 1 species